rnacentral:snoRNA from 12 species
AGCACAAAUGAUGAACAACAAAGGGACUUAAUACUGAAUCCUGAUGUUACAUGCAAUGUUCUGAUGUGU